rnacentral:rRNA from 1 species
GUACUGUGCAAACGUUGUUCGGAAUCACUGGGGGGCUUAAAGGGGUACGUAGGCGGGCCAGUUAAGUAGGGGUGUGAAAUCCCCCGGCUCAACCGGGGAACUGCGCUCUAAACUGACUGGCUUGAGUGAGAUAGGGGUGUGCGGAACUUCCAGUGGAGCGGUGAAAUGUGUUGAUAUUGGAAGGAACGCCGUUAGCGAAAGCGGCACACUGGGUCUCAACUGACGCUGAGGUACGAAAGCCAGGGUAGCGAACGGGAUUAGAUACCCCGGUAGUCCUGGCUGUAAACGUUGAGCACUAGUCGGGAGGGGUUUCGGCCCUUCCGGACGCAGCGAAAGCACUAAGUGCUCCGCCUGGGGAGUAUGGUCGCAAAGGCUG